CUAAAGUUGUAACUAAGUUCACCCGACGAUAAGGAUAGCGAUCCUUUGCUUUGGAUAAGAAACUCAGUGUACCCGCAUAUGUGUUUGCACAAGGGCUUGUAUAAUUAACCCCAUGGGGGUUCUGGGUUUGCACAAGAGACCGAAUGGAAAACGAACCAAAUUUAUGUUUGCACGGCAGGCUGAAAAACGUAAAUUGACUGGUUUAUGGUUUGCCCCUGCAUGAUUCUUCUAGACCAGGGGUCUGGAACCUUAAACACUCAAAGAGCCAUUUGGACCUGUUUCCCACAGAAAAGAAAACACCGGGAGCCACAAAACCCUUCCCGUGCCUAUUUCUUGAGUGGCCACAAAACUAGCAUAUGUACUUGAAUUAAACGUUCUGUUUUCUUCUGAAA